GACGAACGCUGGCGGCGUGCCUAAUACAUGCAAGUAGAACGCUGAAGAGAGGAGCUUGCUCUUCUUGGAUGAGUUGCGAACGGGUGAGUAACGCGUAGGUAACCUGCCUUGUAGCGGGGGAUAACUACUGGAAACGAUAGCUAAUACCGCAUAACAAUGGAUGACACAUGUCAUUUAUUUGAAAGGGGCAAUUGCUCCACUACAAGAUGGACCUGCGUUGUAUUAGCUAGUAGGUGAGGUAAUGGCUCACCUAGGCGACGAUACAUAGCCGACCUGAGAGGGUGAUCGGCCACACUGGGACUGAGACACGGCCCAGACUCCUACGGGAGGCAGCAGGAGGGGAUCUUCGGCAAUGGGGGCAACCCUGACCGCGCAACGCCGCGGGAGUGAAGAAGGGUUUCGGAUCGUAAAGCUCUGUUGUAAGUCAAGAACGGGUGUGAGAGUGGAAAGUUCACGCUGUGACGGUAGCUUAACAGAAAGGGACGGCUAACUACGUG
rnacentral:rRNA from 1 species